UACGGGAGUGGCAAGUGUUAUCCGGAAUUAUUGGGCGUAAAGCGUCUGCAGGUGGAUAAUUAAGUCUUAUGUCAAAUUUCUAGGCUCAACCUGGAGUCGGCAACAGAAACUACUUAUCUCGAGUAUGGUAGAGGUAAAGGGAAUUUCAAGUGGAGCGGUGAAAUGCGUAGAUAUUUGAAAGAACUCCAAUAGCGAAGGCACUUUACUGGGCCAUUACUGACACUCAGAGACGAAAGCUAGGGGAGCAAACAGGAUUAGAUACCCUGGUAGUCCUAGCUGUAAACGAUGGAUACUAGAUGUUGCGUAUAUAUACAGUGUCGUAGCUAACGCGUUAAGUAUCCCGCCUGGGAAGUACGCUCGCAAGGGUG
rnacentral:rRNA from 1 species